UAAGAGUUCUCGGUCGUAUGGUGAGUAC
rnacentral:piRNA from 1 species